AGAACUUAGCAGAGAUGCUUUGGUGCCUUUCGGGAACUCUGAGACAGGUGCUGCAUGGCUGUCGUCAGCUCGUGUUGUGAAAUGUUGGGUUAAGUCCCGCAACGAGCGCAACCCUUAUCCUUUGUUGCCAGCGGUUAGGCCGGGAACUCAAAGGAGACUGCCAGUGAUAAACUGGAGGAAGGUGGGGAUGACGUCAAGUCAUCAUGGCCCUUACGAGUAGGGCUACACACGUGCUACAAUGGCGCAUACAAAGAGAAGCGACCUCGCGAGAGCAAGCGGACCUCAUAAAGUGCGUCGUAGUCCGGAUUGGAGUCUGCAACUCGACUCCAUGAAGUCGGAAUCGCUAGUAAUCGUGGAUCAGAAUGCCACGGUGAAUACGUUCCCGGGCCUUGUACACACCGCCCGUCACACCAUGGGAGUGGGUUGCAAAAGAAGUAGGUAGCUUAACCUUCGGGAGGGCGCUUACCACUUUGUGAUUCAUGACUGGGGUGAAGUCGUAACAAGGUAAGCGUAGUGCU
rnacentral:rRNA from 1 species